ensembl:snoRNA
GGACUGGAGUCCAAGUUCAGCCAUCAAUGAUCAUUACUGGACUGCCACAAGCUGGAAAUCUUGUUUUCCUACCUCAGGCAUUG